rnacentral:rRNA from 1 species
GAUGAACGCUAGCUACAGGCUCAACACAUGCAAGUCGCGGGGCAGCAUGGGGGUUGCUUGCAAUCCCCGAUGGCGACCGGCGCACGGGUGAGUAACGCGUAUCCAACCUGCCCUUCACCACGGGAUAACCCGGCGAAAGUCGGACUAAUACCGUAUGUUGUCCAUUGACGGCAUCCGAUUUGGACGAAAGGUUUGGCGGUGAAGGAUGGGGAUGCGUCCGAUUAGCUGGACGGCGGGGUGACGGCCCACCGUGGCGACGAUCGGUAGGGGUUCUGAGAGGAAGGUCCCCCACACUGGAACUGAGACACGGCCCAGACUCCUACGGGAGGCAGCAGUGAGGAAUAUUGGUCAAUGGGCGUAAGCCUGAACCAGCCAAGUAGCGUGCAGGAUGACGGCCCUAUGGGUUGUAAACUGCUUUUAUGCGGGGAUAAAGUGGCCCACGUGUGGGUUUUUGCAGGUACCGCGUGAAUAAGGACCGGCUAAUUCCGUG